GGCUUCACAACAUGGGCACUGGAUUAGGAACCAAGGUUUCUCUUUUCAGCAGCUUCUCAGUGGUGAUCGACAGUCCUCUUGUAGUGAGCACAUCAGCCACGUGCUCCCAUUCCCUGCAGUGCACCAGCAGUGCUGCUCUCUGGCCAGGAGGCUGAGCCACCAGAAGAAAGCUCCCUCAUCAGCGGUGGAGGCAUUGGAGCCAAGGCAAGGACAGGGCCUGAGCUGAGGGAGGUCAGGUUGGUGACAGCCCAGGGACAGUCCCUUCCAGUGAUCCUACGGUAUUUGAAGGAAGAGGGAAGCACUGGCUCUGUGAUAAGGUAUGAGAUGCUCCAACUCCACCAGAUUUUGAAAGUCCCAUGAAAUAUUUCUGGGCUGUGAACUGUAUUAGCUAUAGCUCAUUCUCUAUAGAAAGAGUAUGUCUGAUCACAGAGAAAGCAAAACAGUUUGGAGAGUCCUCAACACUAUGCCAGGUUAGAGAGCAAGCAGCCAGCAGUGAGGGAAUAAAGGUUUAAAGUUUUUUUGUCACGAAAGAGUCACAAGUAUGGGAAAAAGGUGGCUUUAAGUCUGCUUUAAGCCAGACGAUUGAAAUCCCCAAAUAAAUAUUCAGACUCAAUAACUGUAGCUCUGAAAACCCGUACUGACCUGAAAGCUUUUUGGAUUUGUUUCUAGAAUGACUAAUAUCACCUGAAAGAGAAAGGAGGGAGCUUAUGAAAUACACCGUCACAGAAAUGGAGACUCUUUCUAGAAGCCUUACUGAGAUACCUGAUGUUCCAUGGACCCAUUAGCCAUUAAUUCCUGCUUACAGUAUUCCUUGCCCAUCUGUUAAGAACUCAGCUAAGCAGGGUGCAGUGUUGUGAACAUUUGCAGGUGUUUGUUUAGGGGUGCAGAAUUAGCCUAACAGGGAAUCCCACGGCACAAUUCCAUGCCCUGCACUCAGAGUAUCUGAGCUUCUCUUUUUGCUGUCACAAGAAGUGCAGCUCAGUGUGCCAUCAUCUCAGUUCCCCUUACAGGUGGAUCUGAUCCUACCUGACCUCAGCGAU